rnacentral:misc_RNA from 1 species
CACUAUAGAGCAAUUGUGAUCA